UCUAAAUGCGCUUAACCAUCGAAACCUUCUGGGCCUAAAACCCAAAAUACUAUAGCUGAGUUAAGAAAUUUAGCCCUAUGUUAUCUCAUAUAUAGAAUUGUUCCAAAUCCUAGGGUGUUACAUUCCCCCUUUCUUCCCCUCUUUAAGUUUUGACAUUCUCAUCAGACUCAAGUACACUCACAAAUAUUAGGCGAUGUGAGACUCGUCUCGCUAGCUUUAACCAACCUUGUGAGUCACGCUCCACCCACAACGAUCAUCAGCUGGAAAGCCGCUCUCUACCCACUAUAUAACCCUAGUUGAGCUAAGACUUUUUUCGCACUUUCAGUUGAUUUUUGACUCUAAUACCCUACUUCCAAAGGGGUUACCCAUUUUAGAACUACUAUAGGUUUAGUUUUUAACCCUUUGGGCCUAGCCACCGUCCAAAAUACUAUAGCCGGAUUCUUAUAUAGGACUAAUCCAAAUUCUGCGGUGUCACAAAAUUGGU
rnacentral:lncRNA from 1 species